GAUGAAGAACGCAGUGAAAUGCGAUAAGUAAUGCGAAUUGCAGAAUUCAGUGAAUCAUCGAAUCUUUGAACGCACAUUGCGCCCCUUGGUAUCCCGAGGGGCAUGCCUGUUCGAGCGUCAUUUCACCACUCAAGCCUGGCUUGGUGUUGGGCGACGUCCCCUUUGGGGACGCGCCUCGAAACGCUCGGCGGCGUGGCACCGGCUUUAAGCGUAGCAGAAUCUUUCGCUUUGGAAGUCGGGGCCCCGUCUGCCGGAAGACCUACUCGCAAGGUUGACCUCGGAUCAGGCAGGGAUACCCGCUGAACUUAAGCAUAUCAAUAAGCGGAGGA
rnacentral:misc_RNA from 1 species